rnacentral:rRNA from 1 species
UAGGGAAUCUUCGGCAAUGGACGGAAGUCUGACCGAGCAACGCCGCGUGAGUGAAGAAGGUUUUCGGAUCGUAAAGCUCUGUUGUUAGAGAAGAACGUUGGUAGGAGUGGAAAAUCUACCAAGUGACGGUAACUAACCAGAAAGGGACGGCUAACUACGUGCCAGCAGCCGCGGUAAUACGUAGGUCCCGAGCGUUGUCCGGAUUGAUUGGGCGUAAAGCGAGCGCAGGCGGUUCUUUAAGUCUGAAGUUAAAGGCAGUGGCUUAACCAUUGUACGCUUUGGAUACUGGAGGACUUGAGUGCAGAAGGGGAGGGUGGCAUUCCAUGUGUAGCGGUGAAAUGCGUAGUUCUAUGGCGGACCACCGGUGGCGCAAGCGGCUCUCUCGUCUGUCACUGACGCUGAGGCUCGAAAGCGUGGGGAGCAAACAGG